UGGAAUAUCAAUUCAGUUUAGUUGUACAAUAGUCUAGCAGGCAGCUCUCCUUUGGUUUGUUUGUUUUUUUUUUUUAUUUCAGUUAAAUUUCAGUUUGCACAUUAUGUCCGAUUCCAUUUGCGAUCCGUUUACAAAUCUACCAGUCAAAUUUGAUAUUAACGAGCUCAUUAAGGAGUUCAAGCCGGAGGUGCAGGAGCGAAACAUUUACGAAGCGAAGGGACCACGAGACUUUCUCCACCUGCCAAGCAAACGGUGGGCGGUCUUGCCCAGUUUCGAGCAUCAGUUGGAGCAUUUGAAGCCAAAUCUUUCCUGUCGCCUCAACGAAUAUCUGCGUUGUCGGUAUAGGAAGUUCCUAGAUAACGUUCCAAAGAAUUACGUAACCAUCUCCGUCCAUGGAACAAACAUUAGCAGAAUGCCCAAGCCCAGAAGGAAGUCGUUGAAUGGGCAAUUUUAUGGUGUCGACAAUAAACUAGCGCCCAUUCCCGUCUUGGCAGAUCCCCGCCACCAUGCACCGAAAAGCAAGAGAAAUUAGGAAAAAUAAUUCGAGUAUAAUUUGAAUAGGUACAGUACAGUUACAGUACAAGAGAACUGCGGUGAGCAAACAUUAGCCAUUUCCAUACCCCACCCCACACAAAGUAUCUCGAUUGAGUUAUGGUGUAUCUGGUGUUUUAGUUGCCUUGCAAAGGACGCUGCGCCACUACGAGUUGUUUCACAAGGACGAUGUUUUGCAUAGGGUGGUCAAGAGAGGUAUUAUUAA